rnacentral:rRNA from 1 species
AACGAACGCUGGCGGCAUGCCUAACACAUGCAAGUCGAACGAGACCUUCGGGUCUAGUGGCGCACGGGUGCGUAACGCGUGGGAACCUGCCCUUAGGCUCGGAAUAACUCCCCGACAGGGGUGCUAAUACCGGAUAAUGUCUUCGGACCAAAGAUUUAUCGCCUUUGGAUGGGCCCGCGUUGGAUUAGCUAGUUGGUAGGGUAAAAGCCUACCAAGGCGACGAUCCAUAGCUGGUCUGAGAGGAUGAUCAGCCACACUGGGACUGAGACACGGCCCAGACUCCUACGGGAGGCAGCAGUGGGGAAUAUUGGACAAUGGGCGAAAGCCUGAUCCAGCAAGGCCGCGUGAGUGAUGAAGGCCUUAGGGUUGUAAAGCUCUUUUACCCGGGAUGAUAAUGACAGUACCGGGAGAAUAAGCGCCGGCUAACUCCGUG